CGACGGGUCCCUGUGAAAUCGGACGGCUUAACCGUUCAGCUUGCAGGGAAACUGUUGGUCUUGAGGCUGGUAGGCGCCGAGGGUACUCCGGGGGUAGCAGUGAAAUGCUAUAAUCCUUGGGGGACCGCCAGUGGCGAAAGCGCUCGGCGAGGCCAGACCUGACGGUGAGGGACGAAGGCCAGGGUAGCGAACCGGAUUAGAUACCCGGGUAGUCCUGGCUGUAAAGGAUGUGAGUUAGGUGCUAGGCGCUCCUCGAGAGCGUCCGGUGCCGAAGGGAAGCCAUUAAGCUCACCGCCUGGGAAGUACGGUCGCAAGACUGAAACUUAAAGAAAUUGGCGGGGGAGCACCACAAGGGGUGGAGCCAGCGGUUUAAUUGGAUUCAACGCCGGACAUCUCACCGGGGGCGACGGCAGAAUGAAGGCCAAGUUGACGACUUUGCCGGACUCGCCGAGAGGUGGUGCAUGGCCGCCGUCAGCUCGUAUCGUGAGGCGUCCUGUCAAGUCAGGUAACGAGCGAGACCCUCGCCCUUAGUUGCCAUCGGAUUCCGCAAGGGAUGCCGGGAACUCUAAGGGGACCGCUGUCGAUAAGACAGAGGAGGGAGAGGGCGACGGUAGGUCCGUAUGCCCCGAAUCCCCCGGGCAACACGCGGGCUACAAUGCGUAGGGCAGAGGGCUGCGACCCCGAAAGGGGGAGCUAAUCCCUAAACCUGCGCCUAGUUCGGAUCGAGGGCUGCAACCCGCCCUCGUGAAGCUGGAAUCCCUAGUAAUCGCGUGUCAUUAUCGCAC
rnacentral:rRNA from 1 species